rnacentral:lncRNA from 1 species
AUGGAGUCUCCAUCCUCAAUGUGCAAAUCAGCCUGGGCCCCACUAAGGCGGGAGAUGACAGACUGGCAGCCGGGAAGGAGGGACCGGAGCAGCCCGGAGCCCGUAAUGUGGUCCGCAUGGCAGUGGGUGUUCACUAGGAGAGAGAGGAGGGCCAGGUUCUGGAGGGCACGCAGGAUUUCCAACCCCCGGCCCCCUCUUCCCUCAUACCCUGCAGUUCGACCCCGGCCCCCAGCUUCCCUCUUCACUCUACCGCCCCGCCUCCUCAGGCCCAGAAGUACGGACCCCAAACUGACCAGCAUACAGGAGCCGCAGUCCCAGCUCCUUGACCAACUGGGCAUCCCGAUGCGCCGUCUCCAGAACCGGGUCUAUCAGAAUGGCCUCUCGAGACUCUCUGUCACCCAGGAGACCCUGGAGUUCCGCCCCUGCGCCGCUCCCGAGUCCAGCCAUCACCAACCUGCCGUAGGAGGAUGGGGGCUCCAGACCCACGGUGUUGGCUGAGCUGCCGCCCAGCGACCCUCAGAGCGGCCAUCGCGCCCGCGGCUGGGUGGAGACAGAGCUGAGUCUGAACGCCCGCGGAAGCCGGGUGCACCCAGGGAUGACCCCGGAGGGGCGGGGCGGACGGGGCGGGGCCCGCCUUAAAGGGGCCGGGAGGUCCUGGGGGUGAGGACGCGGACGGACGGAAAAGGGCUGGGGGAGAUAGAUAGAAAACCGUGAGAUCUAGGAAAACAAAGAACAGGGAGACACCAAAUCCGACUAGUACCCAGGAGAAUGGAGGACGCGGGUUCGAUCCCUGGCCUCGCUCUGUAGGCUGGCAGCUACAUCUCGGUUUGGACCCCUAGCCUGAGAGCUUCCAUCAACCGAGAGAGCGGCCCUAAAAGGACAAAAAAAGGGGGGACGGGGCGAGGGAGACACACUGAGAGAAGCACAAACUUCUCUCCCUAGAGAAGGGAAACCCAACAAGAGACCCCAGUACACUUCCCAGCAAGCGGUGGGAAGAAAAAAAAAUGUAUGUUUUGGUGUCAUUAGUGUCUUUUUUUUUUUCUCUUUAGGGUCGCACCCGAGGCAUAUGGAAGUUCCCAGGGGUCCAAUCGGAGCUACAGCUGCCGGCCGUAUUCACAGCCACAGAAACAGGGGAUCCGAGCCGCGUCUGUGACCUACACCACAACUCAUGGCAACUCUGGAUCGCUUACCCACUGAGCAGGGCCAGGGAUCAAAAGGCAUCCUCAUGUAUACUAGUCGGAUGUUUCCGCUGCGCCACGAUGGCAACUCCCCAGGGUCAUUCGUGCCUUGAGGGGCUGUUGGGUGAGUCCCAGAACAACAGAUUAUCUCAUUAAAGUUUAUUUUUCGUUUUUAAAUUUUAUUGUUUUUUUUUUCUUUUAAUGGGCUACACCCGCGGCAUAGGGAAGUUCCCAGGCUAAGAGAUGAAUAGGAGCUGCAGCUGCCCACCUAAACCACAGCUAAGGGCAACGCUGUGUCCUAGACCCGCCGUGUGAGGCCCGCAUCCUCCUGGACUCUAGCCGGGUUCAUUAUUGCUGAGCCACAAGGGGAACUCUUGAUUACUGAAUUUAAUCAUAACAAAUCUUCAUUUUAUAAGUAAGGAAACUGAGGCUUAGAAAGAUGACGUCACUUGCCCCAGGUUACACAGCUGGAAAGUGCCAGUCUUGAUUCCAGUUACUCAAGUAAUCUGGCUCCAGAGCCCCAUCCUCCUGGACUCUAGCCGGGUUCAUUAUUGCUGAGCCACAAGGGGAACUCUUGAUUACUGAAUUUAAUCAUAACAAAUCUUCAUUUUAUAAGUAAGGAAACUGAGGCUUAGAAAGAUGACGUCACUUGCCCCAGGUUACACAGCUGGAAAGUGCCAGUCUUGAUUCCAGUUACUCAAGUAAUCUGGCUCCAGAGCCCCAAUUAUCCUUUCAUAUAAUUCCCACCGCUCCCAGGACUGGCCAGUACAUUAUCCCUGUACAUUAUCAGGCUGAAGACCCACCCAUGCUGGGAUGGUUUAUGGGAGCUUCGCUGUCAUUCCUGUGCUGGGCGCGAAGGUGCGCCGUUACUUCCCAGGGGGCAAGGGUGCCAAGCAAGCCACCCCGCGCUUGCCACCAGGACCUCCAGCCAGGAACAAGGGCCCUGGACACUGCUGCCCUCCUCGCCUAGGUCCGUGGCACUGAGGUGGGAAGAUCCCGAAUCACCCAAUGGCGAAGAGUCCCAGGCGCUAUGCUAAUAACGUGACUUUAACCUUCCGCUCGCUUUGAGUCGGGAGUCCAUCUCCCAUUCUCUCUCGAAGAAAUGGCUAGGUUUUUCUUGCCAAGGCCUUGAAACUGAUUCGGGAGACGGGACUCAGAGGAAUUCUCGAAAAGAAGGGAAAGUACACAUGCUGAGCGCUGUCUCGGUGAUCUCUGAGUGAGGUUUCCCCGUGUUAGCUUCUGCACGUGAUUGACUCCAGUCAGCCACCGUAGGCCCCGCAAGCGGCGGUACUCUUUCCUCCAGUACUUAGGCUGAUAGCUCUGCGCUUGCUCACCCACUUGCUGGCCUUGUGCACCCACCCACUCCUUCCAUUUCGUCUCCCCUGCAGCAGCCUCCGCGGGCCGCGACUGCGCAUGCGUACUGACGCCCUCACCGGCUCGGCGUGGGAGGAGGGGAUGGAAAUGAGGCUGGGUCCAGCAGCUCGCGCGCGCUCCCUCCCCCGCCCUCUCGUCGCAGGGCGCGCGCCGGGCGGUGCAGCUCCUAGGAGUCCGAAGGCAGCACCGCAGUGGGAGGGGCCCGGAGCCCCGCCCCCGGGGAGGGGCCGUCCGCAGGUGAGAAGGGCAGGGGUCUGGGCCCAGACGCCUGGGUCUUCGGGAAGUGGAUUGGGGGCUGAACGCCAGAACUCCCGAAGAGGGAUCGAUUGGGGUCCUGAUGCAUAGGUUCCAGAGGGGCUGCAUUGGCGCCUGAGCCUUGCGAGGAUGCAUUGGUGCCCGAAUGCCCUGAUCCCAUGGGGUUCGUGGAGGUCAAGACGUUUGGGACCUCUAGGGAGAAGUCCGUUAGGGGUCUCUGGAUCGCAAUGCACGAGCCACCCUCUGUCUGUGUUUUCCUUCAGGUCUCCCAUCUACCUUCCACGGCUCCAACUCCAUGCCGGGAUUGAAAUUUAGUGACAAGAAAGGGGCAGUUCACCCGGCGUCAGAGAACUGAGACUAAGCCUAGAGCUGGGUAAAGCUACCUGUUCGUUGUGAAAUCUCGCCUACUGAGCUUGUAGGCCCCUCCCCUAGUACAGAGUUGCUGAGCAACCGACUUUGGGUCCCGUUUGUAUAGCUCCAGCCAGCCGCAUCUGAGGUUCCGUGGCCGGUUCCGCCCACUAGGAAGGCCCCGCCAGCUCCGCGCAGGGGGCCGCCAGGACUUGAAGUUGUAGAGACCCCGCCCACUCCGCUCGAAAGCUCAAACUCUGGGACUAAGUUCCAAACGGACUGCUUCUGGGUCGGACUUGCAUAACCCCGCCUUACGGCAACCGCUACCCUCUCCUAAUAGGAUCUCAGACUUAAAUAGACCCUGCUCCUAAGCAAACCGACCCUUGAUAAUAACCUCUCCAGUCCCAUUCCCAAC